rnacentral:rRNA from 1 species
AUACGUAGGGGGCGAGCGUUGUCCGGAAUCACUGGGCGUAAAGGGUGCGUAGGUGGUGAGGUAAGUCGGAUGUGAAAGCUCGGAGCUCAACUCCGAAAUGGCAUUGGAAACUACCUUGCUAGAGGGUUGGAAGGGGGACUGGAAUUCUCGGUGUAGCAGUGAAAUGCGUAGAUAUCAGAUAGAACACCAGUGGCGAAGGCAGUCAACUGGUCCGUUACUGACGCUAAAGCACGAAAGUGUGGGGAGC